CGAAAAGAAAAUCCUGCGAGAGAUUUUUUUCCCCCUCUCUCAUAAUCCUAAUAUUGUUUCCCACGCCUACGACUCUCUUCUCCACCACCUUCCUUCUCUUUCAGAAGUUUAACAGAAGAUCGAUGUUGCUCUUUCGAUUUAGGAAAAGAUGACGGCAACUAUUACUGGCAUGAGAGAAACCAAGCAAUAGUACGGGAGUUAAUCCAAAGAAUGAACACAUUGUACCCAAUGCCGCCCAUGAGUUUGGUCUCUUAAAGUAAGUCUAUGAGUACAUUUCGGAGUAUUGAGGAUGGGUUAUAAUGUAAAUGGGGAUUAAUGUACCUAGGAUGAAAAGUUUAUCCGUCGUUGGUCAUAGUUGUUCUGGAGGAAUUCGGUAUGGGUUUGUGUGAAUCGAUCUCAUUUAUAAAAUACAAGAAAAUUAAUGUCCAUGUUUAUUCAAGAAAGGAAAUACUUGAUUAAGAACCAGGUAUGUAUUCAUAAUAUCUGUCAAAAAACCAUCUAUAGAACCAGGUACGUAUUUAUAAAUUUUGUUCUGUUUCUGUUUAGGGCGUGAGUUUCACAAAAAUCAAAAGUUGUUUAAGGUUUUCACACCUUGAUUGUGUGAUUCGACUAUUUUAUUUCCUUGGAAUUUUCUGGAAGGAAUUGAUAAUUUAGGUUUGGGAAUUGCCCUUUUUUUUAGAGAUUAUGCGGGAAAAUAAGAGGAUACUAGAGAACUUUAAAAGGAGAAAUAUGUUACAAGCAUUAUAUAAGGAACUUAUUGUGGGGAUUGAGAAUAUCCCUAAGCAAGGGCAUAUGGAUCUUCAUGUGAUUAUGUGCAGGCAACCACAACUAUAACACAAGAACAAUGGAUGGUGGGCGAAAAAUUAUUUCUUAAAUGUGAAGCCAAAGUAAUGUGCAUCAUCAUUUCCUGUUCUUUCUUUCCCAACCAUUAUGUAUAUGGAAGUUUUACUUACCAGCUAAUCGUUGUACUACGUACGAAAAUUGAGGAAAAUUGUAUCAUACCCCGUUCGCGACAAAAGGUGAUCGACGCAAGGCUUCGAAAGAGUUGGAAGUAUAGAAACUGUAAAACUAAUAAGGUAUAUGGCAUGGAUAUGCACUUCAGGGAUGAAAAGGCAGACAUGUAAUUGAGGCAUUAACCUGCUUUACAAUCUGCCAUAUUUGUAACAAGUUAAUGGACAAUAGUGUACACAUAAAACAUCAGGUGCCAAACGGGUAUUCUCUACCAAGUAUGAAUUUGUUUUGUUGGAUUGAAUUGAACCAACUUCAGCAUUUAAAAUUGGGACAUACCGUGCUUGGAAAAUGAUGUUGACUUGAGGUUUAUGCUGGCAACUAGGAGGAUCUUGGCAGGACUUACUAGAAGUGCUAUUGUUAAACAGCAUUAAUGCUGUGUUAUCUAUUAUGUUUUUAUCAAGAAAAAUAAAUGGAGAUGCCAGAAAUUAGUAGGUCGAAAGCUUCACAAAACUACCAUAUAGCUCUCCGCACUAUUAAGGAUUCUGUUGCAUAUGUGUUCAUACCAUGGGUGUCUUGAUGUGGAUAGAGAAAAGAAAACACAUGAAGAUAAAAUAGCAAAAGAUUUGGACUUGAUUGCUGAAAGGUGGCUUGAAGAACAUCCACUAAUAAGGAGACUUCAAUCACUCUCAAAACCAGCGGGCAACAUUACAAACCGAUAUUCAGUACAUUAAAGAGGACAUAAUUUUAGUUGAAAGAGAGAGUACAAACUUACACCCAACAAAGAUACUCAUUGUAAAAUAUUAAAAUGUGGAUGCUUAUGGAUGAUCAUACUACAUCCAAACCUAUACCGAUUAUCUGCAAAGCAGUUGGCUUAUCUCCAAUAGUCAUAAAUCUCUACACUCUAAAUGGCUGACAAGGAUACAAAUUCUUUUCUUCUCAAUCAUUUCAUCGUGCCUAUGGCCCUAUUUUAUAAGUUUUAGUUAGAAGUGCAAAACUUACGCCGAUUGAAUGCAAGAAUGUAUACGUACUUCUGUAUACGAGUUUAGAAUUCAUGGAUUGAGUAUUUAUUACAAAUGUAUUUGGAUUAUUGAUUCUUUAUUACCUUCAGUAGCACAUAAUUAAA